rnacentral:rRNA from 1 species
CUUAGUACGGCGAGUGAAGCGGUAAAAGCUCAAAUUUGAAAUCUGGUACUUUCAGUGCCCGAGUUGUAAUUUGUAGAAUUUGUCUUUGAUUAGGUCCUUGUCUAUGUUCCUUGGAACAGGACGUCAUAGAGGGUGAGAAUCCCGUUUGGCGAGGAUACCUUUUCUCUGUAAGACUUUUUCGAAGAGUCGAGUUGUUUGGGAAUGCAGCUCAAAGUGGGUGGUAAAUUCCAUCUAAAGCUAAAUAUUGGCGAGAGACCGAUAGCGAACAAGUACAGUGAUGGAAAGAUGAAAAGAACUUUGAAAAGAGAGUGAAAAAGUACGUGAAAUUGUUGAAAGGGAAGGGCAUUUGAUCAGACAUGGUGUUUUUUGCAUGCACUCGCCUCUCGUGGGCUUGGGCCUCUCAAAAAUUUCACUGGGCCAACAUCAAUUCUGGCAGCAGGAUAAAUCAUUAAGAAUGUAGCUACUUCGGUAGUGUUAUAGCUUUUUGGAAUACUGUUAGCCGGGAUUGAGGACUGCGCUUCGGCAAGGAUGUUGGCAUAAUGGUUAAAUGCCGCCCGUCUUGAAACACGGACCAUU